UGUAUGCUUCUUUUAUAGCUUUAACUUCGCACUUUAAAGAAAAUCCUCACAGAGAAAUUUUAAUAUACUUAAACCGUAAGGUCAUCUCCUUGCUUAUUAUAGAAAGAAUAACCCUCUAUCCCUUUUGCACCAUGGAGAAGCAACAAAACCACAGAUAUCUAUUAUCCCGAAUAACUAUGAGCUACUAAAUCCUAAAACCUAAUGUAACACAAUUAGCAACACUAGUUUUUAGUAGGAGUAAUAAGCCUUACAUAUAGUCUGAUAGCUGGUUUUUCACAAAAAGCAUCAAAGUGCUACUUUAUAGAAUAAUCUUACCUUUAAGGCCUAUAAAUGUUAACCUUUUAAGGACUAGCUUAAAAGGGCCCCUAAAAUAGAUAACAUCAACACUUUUUAAGUUGGCUUAAAAGCAGCCACCUAUACAGCGUUCUAGCUAAAACACCCAACUCAACACAAUAUUAAAACUCAAUUUUAACUAAAGUGAAAUUUAAUGCUAAACACCCUAUAACAUUAGUAAACAGGCAUUCUAUUAGUAUUACCAAAAUACUUACUCUUAACUUAUCUUAAUACAAGAGAAACAAAACUAUAAUAAACACACAAAUAUAUAAAGUGAACUCGACAAUUAAGUCCCCUGCCUGUUUACCAAAAACAUCGUCUUUUGAUAACCAGCAUAAAAGAUAAUGCCUGCCCAGUGAGUUAACAUCUUAAACGGCCGCGUUAGCGUGAGCGUGCUAAGGUAGCGUAAUAAAUAGCCCCUUAAUUGAGGGCCAGUGAAAGGCAAGACUAGGGACAUUUGUACCUUUUAUACAAAAAAAACUUUUCAUCCUGGUGAAAAGACCAAGAUACUUAAGGAAGACGAAAAGACCCCGCGGAACUUUACCUUUUCCAAUCCUACGCUUAAUAAGCACAAUAAACAAAAGGUUUGAUUGGGGCAAUCUCGGAACCAACAAAGCUUCCGACUCCUUUAUAAAACUAUACAAAAUUCAAUAAAGACAAAAAAGAAGUUACCCCGGGGAUAACAGCGUAAUCCAACUUGAGAGUACACAUCGAAAGUUGGGUUUGCGACCUCGAUGUUGGCUUAAGGAUAUCCACACUAGUGCAACCGCUAUGAAAGGAUAGUCUGUUCGACUAUUACACCCUUACACGAGCUGAGUUAAGACCGGCGUAAGCUAGGUUGGUUUCUAUCUCCUUUAUUUUAGACUAUCUUCUUGAUUGUACGAAAGGACCCCAAGAGAUGCAACUAAUAACAGCACCUUGUAAGUAUAAUCAAUCAUUACACACUAUAA
rnacentral:rRNA from 1 species